AAUGAACGCUGGCGGCGUGCCUAACACAUGCAAGUUGAGCGGUAAGGCCCCUUCGGGGGUACACGAGCAGCGAACGGGUGAGUAUCGCGUGGGUAAUCUACCCAGAGAUGGGGGAUAGCCCCGGGAAACCGGGGGUAAUACCGCAUGAGUCCUCGAUGGCAUAAGUCGACGAGGGGAAAGGCGGGGCUCCUUCGGGACCUGUCGCCUCUGGAUGAGCCCGCGUCCGAUUAGCUUGUUGGUGGGGUAAUGGCCUACCAAGGCGACGAUCGGUAGCCGGCCUGAGAGGGUGAACGGCCACAUUGGGACUGAGACACGGCCCAGACUCCUACGGGAGGCAGCAGUGGGGAAUUUUGGGCAAUGGGGGAAACCCUGACCCAGCGGCGCCGCGUGGAGGAUGACGGCCCUCGGGUUGUAAACUCCUGUCAGGUGGGAAGAAAAGCUUGUCGGUUAAUACCCGGCAGGAAUUGACGGUACCACCAAAGGAAGCCCCGGCUAACUCCGUG
rnacentral:rRNA from 1 species